UACGUAGGGGGCGAGCGUUGUCCGGAAUUAUUGGGCGUAAAGAGCGUGUAGGCGGCCAGGCAGGUCUGCUGUGAAAACUCGAGGCUCAACCUCGAGACGUCGGCGGAAACCAUCUGGCUAGAGUCCGGAAGAGGAGAGUGGAAUUCCUGGUGUAGCGGUGAAAUGCGCAGAUAUCAGGAAGAACACCCGUGGCGAAGGCGGCUCUCUGGGACGGUACUGACGCUGAGACGCGAAAGCGUGGGGAGCGAACAGG
rnacentral:rRNA from 1 species